AACAUCGCGCACCUGCGGGAACCUGCGGAAGGAUCAUUACCGAGUUUACAACUCCCAAACCCCUGUGAACAUACCUAUACGUUGCCUCGGCGGAUCAGCCCGCGCCCUGUAAAAAGGGACGGCCCGCCCGAGGACCCUAAACUCUGUUUUUAGUGGAACUUCUGAGUAAAACAAACAAAUAAAUCAAAACUUUUAACAACGGAUCU
rnacentral:misc_RNA from 1 species